AAUUCAGAAAACUUCACCGAAGGAAAAUAUAGAUAUUGUCAAUUUAUUGUGAAAUUAGACAAUAAAAGUGCAAAAGAUUAAACGUCAUGGUUGCCAUGGCAACACAAACACUGUUUUAAUUUGUUCAUAAAUGGACAGCACACAGCUUCUGAACUUUCCUGGAAAUGAUCAUAUUGCCUUGUCGUAAGUGUAUCUAAUAUAAAUUCGGUUCAAAGCAAACGAUACUCAAAAUACCCAGAAUUUUAGAGAACUGUAGGGAGCCACCUUAAGUGAUGAGGAUGAAAGUGACGAGGACGAAAUCACCCAUGCUGUACCAUUCAAGUGCAUCGGUGCUGCUCAUGAGAAAAAUUACCAACAUCAUUUCGAACAGGCAUACCUUGCUCUUCAUGGACAAGAUAAACCAGUGAAUGUAAGAGUACGGCCAGAGCCAUUGAAUCCAAUGGACCCAAGUGCAAUUGCAAUUGAUGUAGACUAUGGAACUGGAUGGACACAUAUUGGUUAUAUUGCUUCUCAACUAUGCGAGUAUUUGCACCCACUAUAACCACUAUUGCCACAGGAGAAAUCUUAGAGGUCUAUGUUCAGCAUAUCAAGUAAAGGGUUGACUUUUUUAAAAUAGGAUUUUAUCAAAAAAAUUUCAUAAAGCGAUGUGGUGAGUGGGAGACUCAAGUGGUAAGGGAGAGCAGGAGUAGCGAUGUGGUGAGUGGGAGACUCAAGUGGUAAGGGAGAGCAGGAGUCAGAGUGUACGUUGACAGAUGUUUGUGAUAUAAUUGUAACUGACUAGGUUUAGCAAGUUAUAGAAAUGAUGUUAUUUCAAUUGGCUAACUUUUUAGAUUUUCAUAAACAAAAUAAAUAAACAAAAUAAACAAAAAACAAAAUAAACAAAACAAAAUAAAAUAAACAAAAAAAAUAAAUAAAUAAAUAAAUAAAAAAUUAUUUUCAUAAACUAAAUAACUAAACUUUAUUUUCAUAAACAAAAACUCAUAAGUGCAUGGGUGUGCACAAUUAAAAUAAAACAAUGUCUGUCAUACACACUCAUGCAAUUAAGACAAGUAUAUAAUUGUAACAUGUGCUGUACUAAAUGAAGAAAUAAAUAGUUUAUACAUUCACUUGACCAACUUUGUGAGUUAUUUUUCAUUAAAAUUAAUGCAACAAUAAAACAAAAAUAUGUCUAUUUAUAUACAUAUUGAUCAAAGGUCCCACAAUAACAUGCUGCUGAUACUUUGUGAUACAUUACAUGAGAAUAAAAAAAAAAACCUGCAUAUAAUUGCACCUGUCAAUGUCAAGCCCCAGAGGGGGGUGGGCAUAUGUGGGGUAUUUGAUUAGCAUUUUGGGCCCAAGUUAGGGCAAUUUGAACCAAAAUGACUUUUAUUAAUAUAGUAUUUACUGCAAUUUAUUGCAAAAUGGUAGGGUGUUUGACCAAUAUUUAUUACCUAACAGUGGGACAUUUGAUUGAAAAUUUGCUCAAAAAAUCAAAUGCCCCACAUAUGCCCGACCCCGCCCCCUCUCUGGGGCUUAACAUUGAAAAAACCACCAUUUCUCAAACUUUAUCUGAAUUAGAUGUGUAACAUCAUUACAAAAUACUGUUAAAAAAAGGCCAAAUGGGCCUUCACUGCUAUAAAGGGCAUUCUAUCCAAUGGCAUCAGACCAUCAUCUCCACGGCGUUGCAGCUGUUCUCCAAAGCAUCUAGCAGCGUGAUAAAUCAGAUUGUCUUUUUGACCAGCAUGAAGUACAGACAUAGCCUUGGCAACAAGUGGGAGAAAAUUUGAGGGACAAAUUUAGCAUCUAAACCACCUGGUUAACUUUUACCAGCCAUUUUUGAAACAGGUGGAUGAGUAGUUGUUCUGGUUGUCGCUGAGUUAGUUUUGAAAAUCAUGCAGAAGUCAUCAUACCAAUAACAUAUUAACCAGAAAGGUGAACAAGGUUUUGGUCACUCGAUGGAGAGACAAUCAUAGCAUCGUAGAUCUUGCAGAUGUAGAAGGUCUGUACAGAUUGGAAGGACCGAUUUUACCUCCAAAUUUAAUGAUGAUGCUUAAUUCUUGCAGACAAAAUCAUUGACAGAAAUAGAUGC